GGAUCCAGACUUUGAUUAUGGCUCAGGAUGAACGCCAGCUACAGGCUUAACACAUGCAAGUCGAGGGGCAGCAUGAACUUAGCUUGCUAAGUUUGAUGGCGACCGGCGCACGGGUGAGUAACACGUAUCCAACCUUCCGUUUACUCAGGGAUAGCCUUUCGAAAGAAAGAUUAAUACCUGAUAGUAUGGUGAGAUUGCAUGAUAACACCAUUAAAGAUUCAUUGGUAAACGAUGGGGAUGCGUUCCAUUAGGUAGUAGGCGGGGUAACGGCCCACCUAGCCAACGAUGGAUAGGGGUUCUGAGAGGAAGGUCCCCCACAUUGGAACUGAGACACGGUCCAAACUCCUACGGGAGGCAGCAGUGAGGAAUAUUGGUCAAUGGGCGCGAGCCUGAACCAGCCAAGUAGCGUGAAGGAUGAAGGUCCUACGGAUUGUAAACUUCUUUUAUAAGGGAAUAAAGUCGCCUACGUGUAGGCGUUUGUAUGUACCUUAUGAAUAAGCAUCGGCUAACUCCGUGCCAGCAGCCGCGGUAAUACGGAGGAUGCGAGCGUUAUCCGGAUUUAUUGGGUUUAAAGGGAGCGUAGGCGGAGGAUUAAGUCAGUUGUGAAAGUUUGCGGCUCAACCGUAAAAUUGCAGUUGAUACUGGUCCCCUUGAGUGCAGUUGAGGCAGGCGGAAUUCGUGGUGUAGCGGUGAAAUGCUUAGAUAUCACGAAGAACCCCGAUUGCGAAGGCAGCCUGCUAAGCUGUAACUGACGUUGAUGCUCGAAAGUGUGGGUAUCAAACAGGAUUAGAUACCCUGGUAGUCCACACGGUAAACGAUGGAUACUCGCUGUUGGCGAUAUACUGUCAGCGGCCAAGCGAAAGCAUUAAGUAUCCCACCUGGGGAGUACGCCGGCAACGGUGCAACUCAAAUGAAUUGACGG
rnacentral:rRNA from 1 species